rnacentral:rRNA from 1 species
GAUGAACGCUCGCGGCGUGCCUAAUACAUGCAAGUCGAGCGAACGGACGAGAAGCUUGCUUCUCUGAUGUUAGCGGCGGACGGGUGAGUAACACGUGGAUAACCUACCUAUAAGACUGGGAUAACUUCGGGAAACCGGAGCUAAUACCGGAUAAUAUUUUGAACCGCAUGGUUCAAAAGUGAAAGACGGUCUUGCUGUCACUUAUAGAUGGAUCCGCGCUGCAUUAGCUAGUUGGUAAGGUAACGGCUUACCAAGGCAAUGAUGCAUAGCCGACCUGAGAGGGUGAUCGGCCACACUGGAACUGAGACACGGUCCAGACUCCUACGGGAGGCAGCAGUAGGGAAUCUUCCGCAAUGGGCGAAAGCCUGACGGAGCAACGCCGCGUGAGUGAUGAAGGUCUUCGGAUCGUAAAACUCUGUUAUUAGGGAAGAACAUAUGUGUAAGUAACUGUGCACAUCUUGACGGUACCUAAUCAGAAAGCCACGGCUAACUACGUGCCAGCAGCCGCGGUAAUACGUAGGUGGCAAGCGUUAUCCGGAAUUAUUGGGCGUAAAGCGCGCGUAGGCGGUUUUUUAAGUCUGAUGUGAAAGCCCACGGCUCAACCGUGGAGGGUCAUUGGAAACUGGAAAACUUGAGUGCAGAAGAGGAAAGUGGAAUUCCAUGUGUAGCGGUGAAAUGCGCAGAGAUAUGGAGGAACACCAGUGGCGAAGGCGACUUUCUGGUCUGUAACUGACGCUGAUGUGCGAAAGCGUGGGGAUCAAACAGGAUUAGAUACCCUGGUAGUCCACGCCGUAAACGAUGAGUGCUAAGUGUUAGGGGGUUUCCGCCCCUUAGUGCUGCAGCUAACGCAUUAAGCACUCCGCCUGGGGAGUACGACCGCAAGGUUGAAACUCAAAGGAAUUGACGGGGACCCGCACAAGCGGUGGAGCAUGUGGUUUAAUUCGAAGCAACGCGAAGAACCUUACCAAAUCUUGACAUCCUUUGACAACUCUAGAGAUAGAGCCUUCCCCUUCGGGGGACAAAGUGACAGGUGGUGCAUGGUUGUCGUCAGCUCGUGUCGUGAGAUGUUGGGUUAAGUCCCGCAACGAGCGCAACCCUUAAGCUUAGUUGCCAUCAUUAAGUUGGGCACUCUAAGUUGACUGCCGGUGACAAACCGGAGGAAGGUGGGGAUGACGUCAAAUCAUCAUGCCCCUUAUGAUUUGGGCUACACACGUGCUACAAUGGACAAUACAAAGGGCAGCGAAACCGCGAGGUCAAGCAAAUCCCAUAAAGUUGUUCUCAGUUCGGAUUGUAGUCUGCAACUCGACUACAUGAAGCUGGAAUCGCUAGUAAUCGUAGAUCAGCAUGCUACGGUGAAUACGUUCCCGGGUCU